GUCUACGGCCAAGCCACCCUGAACGUGCUCGAUCUCGUCUGAUCUUGGAAGCUAAGCAGGGUCGGACCUAGUACUUGGAUGGGAGACCACCUAGGAAUACCAGGUGCUGUAGGCG
rnacentral:rRNA from 1 species